GGGUUGUGAGGUUAAGCGACUAAGCGUACACGGUGGAUGCCCUGGCAGUCAGAGGCGAUGAAGGACGUGCUAAUCUGCGAUAAGCGUCGGUAAGGUGAUAUGAACCGUUAUAACCGGCGAUUUCCGAAUGGGGAAACCCAGUGUGUUUCGACACACUAUCAUUAACUGAAUCCAUAGGUUAAUGAGGCGAACCGGGGGAACUGAAACAUCUAAGUACCCCGAGGAAAAGAAAUCAACCGAGAUUCCCCCAGUAGCGGCGAGCGAACGGGGAGGAGCCCAGAGCCUGAAUCAG
rnacentral:rRNA from 1 species